rnacentral:sRNA from 1 species
CAGCUGGCCAGGGCGCACUCGUCUGAGGGAACCUGGCCCGUGCAGGAGCCGCUGAUGGAGGAGUACAGCAUCGCCACCCAGGUGUGGAAGCUCAGCUCCUGCGAUAUGUGUGAGCUGGCCCGCAACAGCGUGCUCAUGAGCGGCUUCUCGCACAAGGUAAAGAGCCACUGGCUGGGACCCAACUAUACCAAGGAAGGCCCUGAGGGGAAUGACAUCCGCCGGACCAAUGUGCCAGACAUCCGCGUGGGCUACCGCUACGAGACCCUGUGCCAGGAGCUGGCGCUCAUCACGCAGGCAGUCCAGAGUGAGAUGCUGGAGACCAUUCCAGAGGAGGCGGGUAUCGCCAUGAGCCCAGGGCCUCAGUGAGCCUGGUCCAUGAAGUGCCCACCACAUCGCAGCACUUUUACCACGUUUUGUCCUCAGACCCCUCCCAUGCUGUGUGGUCUCUGCAUGUCUCCAUUCUUCUCUGUCUCUGUCUUGCAUGUCUCCUACCAUGUCACUGUCCCUGGGCCACCCAGUGAAAGCAAAGCCUGGGAAUCUGCUCAUUGUUGUUUGGGCUCAGGUAUUGAGCCUGAUGGCCCAGGUAUUGAGGGCCUCCCCUGCUGGUGGCCCUGUCCUGGGAUCCUCAGAAGCCUGACUGUCCUAUGGGCUUCUCCAGUGUCCACAGGGGCUUGGGAUGGUUGUGGGGGGCUGGCCCCUCUAGCCUGUCCGGUC